rnacentral:rRNA from 1 species
UACAUGCAGUCGAACGCUUCUUUUUCCACCGGAGCUUGCUCCACCGGAAAAAGAGGAGUGGCGAACGGGUGAGUAACACGUGGGUAACCUGCCCAUCAGAAGGGGAUAACACUUGGAAACAGGUGCUAAUACCGUAUAACAAUCAAAACCGCAUGGUUUUGAUUUGAAAGGCGCUUUCGGGUGUCGCUGAUGGAUGGACCCAAGGUGCAUUAGCUAGUUGGGGAGG